rnacentral:rRNA from 1 species
UUAGAGUUUGAUCCUGGCUCAAGAUGAUUUUUAGCGGCAGGCUUAACACAUGCAAGUCGAGGGGCAGCAUGUCCAGCAAUGGAUGAUGGCGACCGGCGGAAGAGUGCGUAACGCGUGAGCAACAUGCCCUAUACAGGGAGAUACACCAGGGAAACUUGGUCUAAUAUCCCAUAUCAUUCAUUGAAGGCAUCUUUAAUGAAUUAAAGCUUCGGUGGUAUAGGAUUGGCUCGCGUGACAUUAGCCAGAUGGUGAGGUAACGGCUCACCAUAGCAAUGAUGUCUAGGGGUUUUGAGAGGAACGCCCCCCACACUGGGACUGAGACACGGCCCACACUCCUACGGGAGGCAGCAGUGAGGAAUAUUGGACAAUGGAUGGAAAUCUGAUCCAGCCAUGCCGCGUGCAGGAAGACGGCCUUAUGGGUUGUAAACUGCUUUUAUACGGGAGCAAUAAGGGUUACGAGUAAUCCGAUGAGAGUACUGUAUGAAUAAGGAUCGGCUAACUACGUGCCAGCAGCCGCGGUAAGACGUAGGGGGCGAGCGUUGUCCGGAAUUACUGGGCGUAAAGAGCACGUAGGCGGAGACUUAAGUCAGAUGUGAAAGACCGGGGCUCAACCCCGGGGUUGCAUUUGAAACUGGGUCCCUUGAGGGCAGGAGAGGAAAGUAGAAUUCCUGGUGUAGCGGUGAAAUGCGUAGAAAUCAGGAGGAAUACCAGUGGCGAAGGCGACUUUCUGGACUGACCCUGACGCUGAGGUGCGAAAGCGUGGGUAGCAAACAGGAUUAGAUACCCUGGUAGUCCACGCCGUAAACGAUGGAUACUAGGUGUGGGAGGUAUCGACCCCUUCCGUGCCGGAGUUAACACAAUAAGUAUCCCGCCUGGGGAGUACGGUCGCAAGGCUGAAACUCAAAAGAAUUGACGGGGCCCCGCACAAGCGGUGGAGCAUGUGGUUUAAUUCGAUGCAACGCGAAGAACCUUACCAGGUCUUGACAUCCUACGGAUCUGUCUGAAAGGACGGAGUGCCUUCGGGAGCGUAGAGACAGGUGGUGCAUGGUUGUCGUCAGCUCGUGUCGUGAGAUGUUGGGUUAAGUCCCGCAACGAGCGCAACCCUUGCUAUUAGUUGCUAACAUUAAGAUGAGCACUCUAAUGGGACUGCCGGUGACAAGCCGGAGGAAGGUGGGGAUGACGUCAAAUCAUCAUGCCCUUUAUGACCUGGGCUACACACGUGCUACAAUGGAUGGUACAGAGAGCAGCAAGUCCGCGAGGCGAAGCGAAUCUCAAAAAGCCAUUCUCAGUUCGGAUUGGAGUCUGCAACUCGGCUCCAUGAAGUCGGAAUCGCUAGUAAUCGCGGAUCAGCUUGCCGCGGUGAAUACGUUCCCGGGUCUUGUACACACCGCCCGUCAAG